AUUGAACGCUGGCGGCAUGCCUUACACAUGCAAGUCGAACGGCAGCACGGGAGCAAUCCUGGUGGCGAGUGGCGAACGGGUGAGUAAAGUAUCGGAACGUGCCCAGUCGUGGGGGAUAACGUAGCGAAAGUUACGCUAAUACCGCAUACGAUCUAUGGAUGAAAGCGGGGGAUCGCAAGACCUCGCGCGAUUGGAGCGGCCGAUAUCAGAUUAGGUAGUUGGUGGGGUAAAGACUCACCAAGCCGACGAUCUGUAGCUGGUCUGAGAGGACGACCAGCCACACUGGGACUGGGACACGGCCCAGACUCCUACGGGAGGCAGCAGUGGGGAAUUUUGGACAAUGGGCGAAAGCCUGAUCCAGCCAUGCCGCGUGCAGGAUGAAGGCCUUCGGGUUGUAAACUGCUUUUGUACGGAACGAAAAGGUUUGGCCUAAUAAGCUGAGCUCAUGACGGUACCGUAAGAAUAAGCACCGGCUAACUACGUGCCAGCCGCCGCAGUAA
rnacentral:rRNA from 1 species